GCCAAGUAUCGGCAGAAGUGGCUAAGAACUACAAAAAGCUAUUUGUCAUCCAGUCUCUUACAGUUUGAUUUCUCCGCCAGGUCCUUUGUGAGGCAGUAAUGGCAGCAACAGUUUCAUGUAGUGGCAGAGGAGCAGCUUUGGUCAGAAAACCUAAAGACCUUUUGCUCAUUUUUAUUCUGUUAAAUCUUCUCUGUCCUGCAACUUCAUGGAUUGAUAAAGACAACAUGAAAGAAAUCCAAGAAAAUAUUCUGAAAAUACAACAAGAUGCAGUGAUGAGAAGAACUGACGUGAUGGUGGACAAGAUCCUCCUUCCUAGGAUCUUAGAGGGUGUUUCACAGCUAAUGGAGCCUUUGACUGAAACAAUAAUGCACAUAGUGCCAAACUUUAGGUCAAUACCUGAAUUAAUGAAGGCAAUGAAAAGCUACCUUGAUGAGAUCAAGGAACAUAUUAUAGAAUAUCUUGAAAAGGAAAUUGCCAUUACAAAAGAAUAUGAAGACAAGGCAAAACAACUGGAGAGGAUUAUAACACAACUGGCCAAAGGAAAAGCUAAUAUAUGAAUUGUAGACUAGAGCUUCUAGGGGGGAUAUUGUACAUUUUCCUGUGAAAAGUAUCAAUUUAAUAAAAUUUUGUUAUAAAUUUAAAAAGUGUAUUGAACUGUAUCAGCACAUUUACCAUCUGUUUUCUUAUUCUCUUCUAAUGUCUAUGUUACUGUAUACACAAAUAAUUGACAAUUCACAAUGCUGUGCCUUUACCAGUUAAACUGAUCUGUAAACUAUAGGCUGACUGUUCGUUGUUUUUGAUCUCAGUGAUUUAGACUAAUCUAUAAAUUGAAUUUAUCAUAUCAUCUUGUAUAGGUGUAUAUCUGUUGUGUUAAUGUGCACUAAAGAUGCUCAAUGGAUUACACAAUAAAGCUGAGCAAUG